UCUUAGCUCAGUUGGUAGAGCGCCAGAUUGUGGCUCUGGAGGUCAAGGGUUCGAUCCCCUUA
rnacentral:tRNA from 1 species